rnacentral:rRNA from 1 species
AUACGGAGGGUGCGAGCGUUAAUCGGAAUUACUGGGCGUAAAGCGCGCGCAGGCGGUUAGAUCAGUCGGUUGUGAAAGCCCCGAGCUUAACUUGGGAACUGCAUUCGAUACUGUCUAGCUAGAGUAUGGUAGAGGGAAGCGGAAUUCCGGGUGUAGCGGUGAAAUGCGUAGAUAUCCGGAGGAACACCAGUGGCGAAGGCGACUCACUGGACUAAUACUGACGCUGAGGUGCGAAAGCGUGGGGAGCAAACAGAAUUAGAUACCCGGGUAGUCC